AUACUCUGGUUUCCCUUCAGAUAGAAUAAAUAUUUUGCCUUUUUCUAAAGAUUUCCGUGGAGAGGAACAACCAUGAGUUUUCAAUAUUUUUUUGAGGCUCUACCCCAUGCAGGGCU